AUAAAUUUUUUUAUGUCUUGACUUCAACACCUUCACUUGAGCAUGCCAGCAUCAGUCUGUAUGGAUCCAGUUUAAACAAAUUAAUUUAACUGUGCACUCUCAUGGUUAUUUGCAGCCAAAUGUAUGAAACCAACAUGCUCAGUUUUUCUUAAAUGCUUUCAUUUUAUUCAUGCAGAAAAUUUUGAAGUCAGAUUCGUAGUGCAGAAUUUUGGAAAUCAGAACAACUAAACUACCCAAGGGUAAGGAUGUUUGGCUCGUGCGUUGGAGAUUGGGUCCAGAUGGAAGUAGGCAGGGAGCGCUGCCCGUGGGGGUAGGGAAAGGCACGGCUCAUGCAUGGAUGGAAGGAGGCAGGGAGCGCCCGGCCACCAUUGCCGGUGAGCCAUCGUAUGGCUACUUUCGCGCCGUGCCGACCCCUUCGAGAAGAUCGACAAGGAUGUUGCCAACUGCGUCCGCCCUCUCCGGUUCCACCACAAGUGUGUAUCUAUAGCAACAUGU